rnacentral:rRNA from 1 species
UGAGGAACAUGACCUUCGGCGGGGGAGUAGCCGGGCCCAACGGCCGGGUAAUACCGCGUACGACCACAUGGGGACAUCCCUGAGUGGUGAAAGCAGCAAUGCGCCGAUGGAGUGCCUCGCGGCCUAUCAGCUAGUUGGUGAGGUAACGGCUCACCAAGGCGACGACGGGUAGCUGGUCUGAGAGGAUGGCCAGCCACAUUGGGACUGAGACACGGCCCAGACCUNUACCGGGGAGG